CUAGCAUAUCAAUAAGCGGAGGAAAAGAAACCAACAGGGAUUGCUCUAGUAACGGCGAGUGAAGCAGCAAUAGCUCAAAUUUGAAAUCUGGCGUCUUCGGCGUCCGAGUUGUAAUUUGUAGAGGAUGCUUCUGAGUAACCACCGACCUAAGUUCCUUGGAACAGGACGUCAUAGAGGGUGAGAAUCCCGUAUGCGGUCGGAAAGGUGCUCUACACGUAGCUCCUUCGACGAGUCGAGUUGUUUGGGAAUGCAGCUCUAAAUGGGAGGUAAAUUUCUUCUAAAGCUAAAUAUUGGCCAGAGACCGAUAGCGCACAAGUAGAGUGAUCGAAAGAUGAAAAGCACUUUGGAAAGAGAGUUAAAAAGCACGUGAAAUUGUUAAAAGGGAAGGGAUUGCAACCAGACUUGCUCGCGGUGUCCCGCCGGUCUUCUGACCGGUCUACUCGCCGCGUUGCAGGCCAGCAUCGUCUGGUGCCGCUGGAUAAGACUUGAGGAAUGUAGCUCCCUCGGGAGUGUUAUAGCCUCUUGUGAUGCAGCGAGCGCCGGGCGAGGUCCGCGCUUCGGCUAGGAUGCUGGCGUAAUGGUUGUAAUCCGCCCGUCUUGAAACACGGACCAAGGAGUCUAACAUCUAUGCGAGUGUUCGGGUGUCAAACCCCUACGCGUAAUGAAAGUGAACGGAGGUGAGAACCGCAAGGUGCAUCAUCGACCGAUCCUGAUGUCUUCGGAUGGAUUUGAGUAUGAGCAUAGCUGUUGGGACCCGAAAGAUGGUGAACUAUGCCUGAAUAGGGUGAAGCCAGAGGAAACUCUGGUGGAGGCUCGCAGCGGUUCUGACGUGCAAAUCGGAUCGUCAAAUUUGGGUAUAGGGGCGAAAGACUAAUCGAACCAUCUAGUAGCUGGUUUCCUGCCGAGC
rnacentral:rRNA from 1 species